GUUUUUAGGCUAUACAGUGUUUGUUUACAAUUACUUUAUUUACAAAACAUUGUCAUAAAACAUUAUAUUUUGGGUUCUGAUGGGAUACACAUGUUGAACUAAGCUUACGAUCCAUUUAUAAGUUAUAUUCUUCAAGAAUAAAUGGGUACAUAUUGUAAAUGUAUAAGUCCAAAAAUGGAUGUAGCAACUGCUGAUUGCCCCUUUAAGUAAAUACACAACAGUAGUGUCUUUGGUCAUAAUGUGAAUAGGGGCUCUAUUCAAUCAGAUCUGCUUUUGCCGACAUCCACAUAGCAGUUGCUUUGACGGUGUCUGUGGUGGAACUGUGUUAGAGCUGUCAAAUACACAACAGGCUUUCUGCAUUAUCAACUAAAGCAGACAUUGCCAUUGGCUGCACAGAGUCACAUUGACAUAAAUCCCAUGCAGCCUUGUUUACAAAUUCUAACACUGUAAUGUGAGAUGUAAUCUACACCUCUGUUAAGAACACUGGAAUGUGAGAUGUAAUCUACACCUCUGUUAAGAACACUGGAAUGUGAGAUGUAAUCUACACCUCCAUUAAGAACACUGUAAUGUGAGAUGUAAUCUAUACCUCCAGUAGGAUGAUAGAAAACCUCAUUAUUUAUUUGAAUGAUUUUUUAAUUUUAGUGUAAUUAUUUCUAUAUAGUCUACACAAGGGUUCCCUAACUGGCAGCCUCAGAAUUUGGCCCCCAGGUGUUUUUAUUUGGCCCCCCAAGUUUUUUAGCAAAAAAAAAAGAAACAAAUAUGUAUUUGUAUUUUUUUUAUUGUUGGACAUAAAACACUAGGAAAUCAUCUCAAAUUGAUUUUAAUUUAAGAAAUCUGUUCCCAAGUAUUCCAUGGAUAAUAGAAAGACACCUGAUCAUUUAACAUAAGCAAGGUUUGAAAUGAUGAUGUUUUAGUAAAACAGUAUAUCUGUUUGGGCUUCUUGCAGUCAAUUUGAAGUCUACAAAUUGUGACUGAAUCUAGUUGAUGAUCCCUGGCCUACACUUUCUCGUUCUGAACUUCUGACGCGAGUGGGGUCGGGUGUGUGGCUUUGUGACAAUGAUCGCAAGAGCAGCUACUCAGCGAUUUGAUUUGAUGGGUCCAAUGCAGUUCCACUACCUCUGACACCAACAAAACUGCUAUGCGGGUGUCUGCUAUCUCUGGUUAACAGCUGAUCUCAUUGAAUCUAGGUCUAGAUUAUGGGAACAUUACAACAAUUGUUUCAAAAUAUGAGUCAUAAAAAUUUUAAAAAUUAAGAUAAGAGUUUUAAGAGACGAUUCUGUGCAAUUGAUUCAGCGAGACAUUUUCUGAUAACAUAUAAGGCAUGAUACCAACUAACUUUUAAUUUAAUUUAAUAGUCCCUGCCCUGUCUAUGUUUUGUUUUUUUCAUUCAGUAUUGCAGGAUCGCCGUUUACUGGUUACUUUAGUGCAUUACUGUAGGUCUGCUUCCCGUUGUGCUUUAGGUGGGAUGCCAUUUUACAAAAAUGGGACCCCGCAAAAAACAUGUUUUAAAAUACGGCAAUUUGACUAAUUAAGAAAUACUUUGAGCAAUAAAAAUGCAAUUGUGUGUACUUUAUGUUUGUAUUCUUAUCUUUUAGUAUUUCUUAUUAUUGUUGCAUUUUGAAAAGGAACCUUCAAGGAAGCAUUUCGUUGGAAGUGUAUACCAUGUGUAUACCAUGUGCAUACCCCUUUAUAUAGGACUAAUACAACUUCAAACUAAUGUGUAUUUUUGGGUUAUUUUUUACCAAAAUGCAUGAAAAUAGAACUGAAAUAGAACCGUGGUGGAUAGGUUUCCUCAAGCGGGAGAUAAACUAAACUGCGCAGAAUAGUAUUAGUAGUUUGCCUAAUUUCCAUAUUUACACAUAUCAUGCUAUACCUCCCUGCCCAAUCCUCACAUCCCUUUCCCUCCCUUUCUCCUCCCUCCCCUUUCCCUUCAUCCUCCCCUUUCACCCCCCCCCCUCCCCUCACACACCACUAAACCACAGAUGACAUAACAGUUUCCUAGAUGAGAGCACUCUAGUCUCCUCUCUUUUAUGCAUGACAUUUCAUUAUAGGUAAUUGAUCAUGUCAAACCAGUGUGUUUAGUACUGGGCAGGAACUAAAACCUGCAAACCUCAUACUUGUGCUCUGCUCACUCAGAAGUACAGUAUACGGUACUGCACUGUUGACACCCGUGGAGGCUGGGUGGGAGAAGCUAUAGGAGGACUGUCUCAUUGUAAUGGUUGGAAUGGAAUUCAUUUAGCUCAAUUGGUAGAGCAUGCCGCAAGCGCCAGGGCUGUGGGUUUGAUUCCCAUGGUGGACCAGAAUGAAAAAAAGUGUUAAAAUGUAUGCACUCACUACUGUAAAUCGCUCUUAGUCUGCUAAAUGACACAAAUGUCAAAUGUAAGCAUAUGGAAACUAUCUUCCACUCCAUCCAUUCCAAUGAGCCCGUCUUUCUAUACCUCCUCCCACCAGCCUCCAUUGGUAGAUUGAUAUAUAUUCCCAGGCACCAUAUCUCUAUAAACAGGUUUAUAGUGGGAUUACAAUCUGGCCCCUCCUGUACAUGAUGUUCUAGGAGCAGACAGACUGGUCGGGACAGGAAUAGAGCAGUAGAUAAUCCCAAUCCCAGUUGCAUUCUGGGUCCCCAUCUGAUGCAUCUGCUCUGUCUGCCAUCAGAGGGCGUUGGAGUCUAAUUAAAACUGGUUUGGUGAGACUAAAGGGACUUUUUGGCACGCAAACCGACUAGCCAAAAUUUGAAACUGAUCCUUGCUAUAACCCUAGCCUUAACCAAACCCUUAACCCUGAGUCUAACCUAAUUAGAACCUAUUCUAAAAAUAUAGAUUGGUUUGCAUGUUAGAAAAGUCCCUUUUAAUCUCUACCGAUUAAAACCUGUGACAUGUGGAGUGGGGACAGCACAUGAGAAAAGGGUGGAAUAAAUGACCUCUACUAGCCACCGAUACAAAUUGUUUUCAUAGUUGAUAAGGCUAUUAGGUUUACCUCUGUGUAUCUCAUUUGAAUGACAUUCAGAAUACCAAAAAUACAGUAUUUGUGAUCUAGCAGAUACGCUUAUUGUAACUGUGUGCUGUCUUUGCAUCAUUGAACUAUAUAACCAUACUGUAGACCUACAUAUUGUCUGUCACAUACGGAGCAUGAAAGUGCAUUAUUGUGGGUUAACUGACCAGUAGUGACAAUUUUCACAAUUUUGUAUUGCAAGCCAUGCUAACAAGUUACAGUACACAAUUAUACACAAAUACAAUAAACACUGGUAAACAAACAAAAUAUUAUAUCGUCUUGAAGUGGUUAUAAUACAGGCGUGUUGAAAAAUGAUGAUGGAAAGAAUUAUUCCAUACAGGAAUGUUUGUGCGUCAUCAGAGUGUAUGUUUGUACAUCAGAGAAGUCCUACAGGUGAUAUUUUGAUGAAUUGUCUCUCACAUACAAAGUGUCUCAGUGAGCACAUGCUAUACAUAACAGUCCCUUCUAGGCCCCAAGUAUAUACUCACAAGUGAUUUCACAGAUGUGUUAUACACAUGUUACAGUAACGUAUCACUUUAUAUGGGGAUUUUCACACCUGCAGCGACCCGUCACUGACACAUUAUAUUUUUUGUAAUUGUUGUUUUUUUGCACUGCAUUGUUGGGGAAAUGGCUCGUAAGUAAACCUACACCUGUUGUAUUCAGUGCAUGUGACAAAUACAAUUUGAUUUGACCUAUUCAGGUUCAAAAUUCUGGGAGAGUUUUUCUGGAAGAGUCCGAGGUUUACAAUUUAAGAACAUCAACAUAGCACAACAUGCAAGAACAAACAAAAAAAGCAAAGCUUGUGUUUCAGUAAGUCAGCAGACGGACAGAGUGCGAAUGCAGGGAGCAUGACGAUCAAGAGAGACUGUUUCGUCAGGACACGAAGAGAGGAAGAUGAGAAGGAGGAAAUCAGAAGGAGAAGAAAAGCAGGAAGAGGCUUUGAGCAAAGCGUUUAUGGGACACCAAGCGAGUAGACUCACUGGACAGAUCCGAUCUGUGGUUUACUGAGUAACACUGAUAGUUCUAAUAAUAGUCCUACCGUCCGGCAAGAUGCUUCAUAUUUAAAACAAGCUGCAGUAAUCUCUACACAGCACAUCCUUUCACUUCCCCUCCCCCGUCACACACACACACACACACACACACACACAUACACAUACACACACACAGGGGUAUGCAGACGCAGGCGCACGCACACACGGUUGCUUGGGCAAUGUAUGACCAGACACUUGUAAGCUCCCUUUUCUGAAUAUUCACCAAUAACCUGCAGACGCAAACCUGUCACUGGAUCCUCUUCCGCCCUGCUGUUCCCUCUUUGUUGACCAUGGGGCGAUAGUAAGGAUCCAAGGCUCAUAAUGGACACAGAAUCAGUCUGAAAGACCGGGAGCCAUAAAAGCAAAAAAGUUGGAUGUCCACACAAUAGUCAAUUGGUGGUCCUCAUUGGUCAGCCCCAAGUUCCAUUUAUUCAAAAUGGAGUCAAAAUAUGCCUUUGCUGUAGCUCCCAUGAUGCCUCUUUCUGGCUAGGGUCAAAGGUCAGUGGUGGUGCAUCAGGAAGUCUGAUUGGUCAGUGGUGGUGCAUCAGGAAGUCUGAUUGGUCAGUGGUGGUGCAUCAUGACGUUGUCGUCGUCCGCCGUAGUAACCAUAGCCACCGUUCUGACAGUGGAGAUCUUCUUCACGGCCUUCUGGAGGAGCAGCUUGAAGUCCUUGAUCUCCUGGACAGACCUGGAACACACAAAAUACAAGAAAGAAAGAGAGAGAGAGA
ensembl:lncRNA